GUUUUUCUUUGCCUGUAUAUUGAUGGAAUAUACUUUUAUAUAAAUAAAUGUGUGCAAUCAAUCCUCCUGCCCGAUACACCCCUCCCCCAUUUUUAAACUAACUGAACAUGGUUACUAACCUUUCUUUAAAGAAAAGUCUGUAAUACAGAACAUAAAGAAAUCAAUAUCAUGAUAUAUUCAAUUCAAUCUAUUUUGAAAAAACAGAUAAAAAGUGUAUUUAGUUCAAAUAUUUUUGAUGCAUCUAUUAUUUGAGUGUUUGAAUUUGAUCGAGGCAUGAUGUGUAAUGAAUGCAAUAUUAUAUAUUUAGCUACAAAAAUAGUAAUGAGGAUAACGCUCGUCUUCAAGUGAUUUAUUUCUAUACAUGUAAUUUAUUAAUAUAGCCUAUUUUUGUCAUUGUGUACGAGGUAUAUAGGUGCAAUUCAUUGAUAUAUAUGUUGAUAAAAUGAAUGUACAUUUACUUGUACAUUUUAUAAUGUACUUAACUUUAAAGAACACAACUACUUAGGCAGAUACUUUAAGCUUUAUCAGCCAGUUUGUAAGAUUCCUCAAGUCCGAAGGACCAUAGUUCUGUUUGAUUUUCGUGAUUCUCCAGCUGCCUAAAUUCAACAGAAAAAGUGAACAGAAGGAAAUUGAUUAUUUCUGCAUUUGUUGACAUCUAUGUUGAUUCAUAACAGCCCGGAAAUCUAUAAAUACUAUAUAUGCACUGAUUUAUAUUGGUGUUUUAUACAUGUAGUACUGGGUACCGGUAAUUUUUUUUUUUAAAUUGAGAUAGCUUGAUUAUUUUCUAAUUUUUUGUAUACAAUUUGUAGAAAUGAUAUUGUACCAUAGUCUACAAAUCAGGUUGUCUCUUUUCUACUUUUGGGAUGGAUUAUUAUUAUUUUUUUUUUUGGUGUGGAGCUCCAAUUUCAGCUGUGUAAAUACAUGUAUGACAUGUUGAUUUUGUGUAAUAAUCUAAAUGUAUUAUACAUACAUGUACAUGUACUGGUUUUUUGGGGGGGGGGACAUUCUUAGACCUGGGUUUGUUGGUCAGAAUGGAAAAUUUGGAACAUGACCUGGUCAUCUCUUGAAUUGGACUAUGGGACACAAACUGUUCUCUUUCGUAGACAUUUGUUUUGUAAGAUCAAACUCAUUAGGUAGAGGAAUUAAAAAAAAACAUUUUGAUUUCAUUUGUAUCCACCUUUCAUGCUUAUUUCUGUUAUAGAUUAUAUAGAUGUUGACUCUUGUUUACCAUUUGUAAUAGGGUAUUAAAUUUGAAACUUAC
rnacentral:sRNA from 1 species